CUUAACACUUGUCACAUCGCACAUACAUCGGCACAUAUAUUGGGGUGCUCCGUUAAGGAGUCAAUCUAUGGGAUGUAUGGAGGAUUAAC
rnacentral:sRNA from 1 species